AGUGAACGCUGGCGGUAGGCCUAGCACAUGCAAGUCGAACGGCAGCACAGUAAGAGCUUGCUCUUACGGGUGGCGAGUGGCGGACGGGUGAGGAAUACAUCGGAAUCUACUUUUUCGUGGGGGAUAACGUAGGGAAACUUACGCUAAUACCGCAUACGACCUACGGGUGAAAGCAGGGGAUCUUCGGACCUUGCGCGAUUGAAUGAGCCGAUGUCGGAUUAGCUAGUUGGCGGGGUAAAGGCCCACCAAGGCGACGAUCCGUAGCUGGUCUGAGAGGAUGAUCAGCCACACUGGAACUGAGACACGGUCCAGACUCCUACGGGAGGCAGCAGUGGGGAAUAUUGGACAAUGGGCGCAAGCCUGAUCCAGCCAUACCGCGUGGGUGAAGAAGGCCUUCGGGUUGUAAAGCCCUUUUGUUGGGAAAGAAAAGCAGCAGGUUAAUACCCCGCUGUUCUGACGGUACCCAAAGAAUAAGCACCGGCGAACUUCGU
rnacentral:rRNA from 1 species